rnacentral:tRNA from 1 species
AGCCCUUAUAGCUCAGUGGUAGAGCAUAUCCUUGGUAAGGAUAAGGCCACGAGUUCAACUCUCGUUAAGGGCUU